GGGUCAGUGGGUUGGUCGUGCCACCGGUACGUACUGGUCUCACUGAUUCCUCCUUCCUGAAGAACCGUAAUGCCAUUAAUUUGGUGUUGCGGGGAAACAGGACUGUUGCUUUGAAAAAAUUAGAGUGUUUAAAGCAAGCUAACGCUUGAAUACAUUAGCAUGGAAUAAUGAAAUAGGACGAUCGAUCCUAUUUUGUUGGUUUCUAGGAUUGACGUA
rnacentral:rRNA from 1 species